UACGUAGGGGGCGAGCGUUGUCCGAAGUUACUGGGCGUAAAGAGCGCGCAGGCGGUCGUUCAAGUCGCGUGUGAAAGCCCCCGGCUCAACUGGGGAGGGUCACGCGAUACUGAUCGACUCGAAGGCAGGAGAGGGAAGUGGAAUUCCCGGUGUAGUGGUGAAAUGCGUAGAUAUCGGGAGGAACACCAGUGGCGAAGGCGACUUCCUGGCCUGUUCUUGACGCUGAGGCGCGAAAGCGUGGGGAGCAAACAGG
rnacentral:rRNA from 1 species